AGGACUUUUUGCUAUUUAUGAUGGGCAUUCAGGAGACAAUGUGGCUGCCUAUUUACAGAAACAUUUGUUCUCCAAUAUCUUAAAAGAGGAGGAUUUUUGGACCGACCCUCAUAGCUCAAUCUUACAAGCUUACGAGAGAACAGAUCAGGCUAUUCUCUCACAUAAUCCUGAUCUAGGACAAGGAGGGUCGACUGCAGUGACUGCAAUACUUAUAAAUGGGCGAAAGCUAUGGAUAGCAAAUGUUGGAGAUUCCAGAGCAGUGCUUUCAAAGAGGGGGAAGGCGAUACAAAUGAGCAUUGAUCAUGAACCACACACAGAGCGGGGAAGCAUUGAGAACAAAGGUGGCUUUGUCACAAAAAUGCCAGGAGAUGUUGCUAGAGUGAAUGGUCAACUAGCUGUAUCUCGCGCUUUUGGAGACAAGAACCUGAAAUCACACUUGCGCUCUGAUCCUGAUGUAACAACCAUUGAUGUUGAUGGAGAUACAGAUCUUCUCAUCCUUGCAAGUGAUGGCCUAUGGAAGGUAAUGUCUAAUCAAGAGGCAGUUGACAUCGCGAAGAAGGUUAAGGACCCACAGAAGGCAUCCAAGCAAUUAGCCAUCGAAGCGUUAACUAGAGAAAGUAAAGAUGAUAUCUCAUGCAUCGUUGUCCGAUUUAAGGGGUAAGUGAAUGAUGACUAGUGUGCAGAAGUUAAAACUCUAUAGUUGUAAGAAUGAGAUUCAACUCCUAGUUUCAUAGAAGCUUGAAAUCUCCAGAAUCCAGCAUAAGUAUUUGUAUUUAUACAUGUACGAUCCCUUGCCCCUUGUUUGUAAUUUUCAAGUUGUUCAUUCAGUUUGUGUGGUAAUUAUCUUUUUUUUUCCUACUAAUAGAUUAGAUUCUUGAGGAUUGAAUUUUGUGUAAUUUGCAUAAAUACUUGCUUUUGUAAGCAAAACAUUU
rnacentral:misc_RNA from 1 species